UGAGUGCCAAUAUCAUCUCAAAAUAUGCAAUAUAAUAGUAAGAGGUCAGGCUAGUCAAGUGAAAGACGUUUGCAACUACACAAUGACACAUUAGCAAACUUGAGAGCAACAGAAUUACAAUUAGUACAGUUUUCAGGGCAACACAUAAGAAACUACAUGAGUAACGUGACUAUCACUAAUUGAGGAGUGGGUGGCUCCAAGAACUGGAAUUAGACAAAUUAUACAUCAUCAAUCAUUAGGAGCUGGACCCAAUAGAAUCUUGUCUCCUGGUCUGCAAGCCAAAAAAAUGCAGGAAGACUAUCAACACAUAUGCAGGAAGAACACCAUGGCAAUGGUAAUAGAUGAUUGAGCGCAUUGUAAAUAAUGGGGCGACCUCACCUCAAGUAGAUCGCGUUAGAAUAGAAACAACACGACAGUAGCGAUUGCACUCGUUGAGCUUUACAUCGAGCCUUCGAGGUAGUCUAGAAGUGAUGGCCGACGUGAUUCGCUCUUGCAAGAAAAUAAGGAGAGGCCAUUACCAAACUUGAUACAUACUUUCAUUUUCUAUGUUACCUAGGAAAUAUUAUUGCACAUAUGUUUCACUUGUAAAAUUACCAUCUGGGCGAUUGGCGUGUUGUGUCGGCUUGACUACUGAUUUCUUUUCUUUCCUUAUUUUCCUGUAUGAACCUGGUGGCCAGCAGCAAGUGAAGGCAAGAAAUAAGGUGCCAAAGGAUUUAAUUAGGCGAAGAUGAUUAGGCUCUAGUACACACCGAGUGCAUCCAUAAGAGUCUACGUUAAAAUACUACAGAAGGUGAGACUGGG
rnacentral:lncRNA from 1 species